UACAGAGGUCUCAAGCGUUGUUCGGAUUCAUUGGGCGUAAAGGGUGCGUAGGUGGCGUCGUAAGUCGGGUGUGAAAUUUCGGAGCUUAACUCCGAAACUGCAUUCGAUACUGCGGUGCUUGAGGACUGGAGAGGAGACUGGAAUUUACGGUGUAGCAGUGAAAUGCGUAGAUAUCGUAAGGAAGACCAGUGGCGAAGGCGAAUCUCUGGACAGUUACUGACACUGAGGCACGAAGGCCAGGGGAGCAAACGGG
rnacentral:rRNA from 1 species